UAAAGCUCUGCCCAUUCAGUCUGUAAAAGAGCAGGCAUGAGGAUAUUCACUGCCGCCUCGCUUGGAGUAGAGACAGAAGGCCGUGGCUGCCUCCAUCACAGAGGGAGGGGCUGGGUGAAGUGGGCACCUCGAGGUCUUGGUAGCACUGCUCUUCUGUCAAAUGAAGUCACUUUGCAAAAGUGGAAUUCUACAAUAAUUCUACUGAGCACCUAGUCUUCGGAGAAACCACCUCACCAGAGGAUCCUCUAUGCUGUCUAAAAAGAAAAACCAAUUCGCAAUUUGUUCCGGG